GAGAAAUUAGUUUAGCCAAAACAUUGUCUUGUCAAGACAAAAACAUUAAGUUAUUAAUAUUCCUU
rnacentral:tRNA from 1 species